GGGGUGGUUACCCUGCUCCUGAAAUAAGAGGAGUGAGAAUAGCUGGGGGAAGCUGACUGAGUAGCUGACCACAGGUGUGACCAGCUCAAUCAGGGCCCAGCUGGCCCUGAUAAGAGAGCUGGAGGCCUAGCUGUAGGGAGAGAGAAGGACCUGGGAACUCAGGGUACUAGUAGCAGAGCAAUGCUGGUGGGGGAAAAGGCAAGAGGAGCUGGGAAGCUCAAGCCUGAUAAAGCUGCAAGGCCUUGUUAAAGGCCAAAGCAGUGCUAUGAGACAUAUGAGCAAUGCUCCAUCAUUUGUAUUGUCCAGUUAUCCAGUGAGUCAUAUAAAGAGGACCUGGCCAUGCAUUUCUCAUCUCCAGGCUGCAUUGUAUUUGAAGGUGAACAUGAAGAUGAUGCACAGGCUCUAGCUGGUACAGAAAGUGGCUGUUCACCUUCUGCAUGACUCAAGCCCUCAUGAGCACAUCAGGCUUCUGCUUAAGUCCUUCCACUGGCUUCCAAUUGGCAUGUGAUGGCCAUGUAAAGCCUUGGUCCUAAUUUCAAAAACAAUCAAUAUCUUCCAGAGGAGAUCAGGUGAGCUCAGUCUGACCAUCUUUGGGAAACAUUGCAAAGCCUUGCUUUUUGAGAGGAAGUGAUGCUACCACAAGUGACGCUCUCAUUUUGAACAUGCUUUUUAUUCCACCACCCUCCUUUUUUUUUUUUAUUUAUUAAAAAGCAACUACUCCCAAGCAGAGUUCUGACCCCAUACAAUGAGAAGUGGCAGACUGCAUGAAGUCCACUAGGGACUUUGCUACAUGGACAGUGUUCAGACACUCCAAUAAUGGACAGCAAUAUAAAACUCUUACACAAAAAGUCAUGUGGAGAGUGAAAUCACAGUUAACAUUUUCCUUUCUUGAGCUGAUUACUUUGUAUAACACAUGGAACUGAACAAAGGUCUCUUCCAGAUUUUGCC